rnacentral:lncRNA from 1 species
GUUCAUAAGGCUCAGAGUCUUAACAUUUUUCCUUGGAUUUUUAUAAUAAUAGUAUACAUUGUAAAAUUUUUGAUAAUUAGUAAAACUAAAAGUGUGACAUUUUCAUAGGAAAUCUUAAGCUUAGUGGGGCUUCCUCUCACUCCAAUUAGCUUAAUGAAUCCUUGAAAUAAUAUACCUCAUUGCUAGAAUGAGACAGGUUUAGCUUUCAUUCUGUUCCUCAUGUUUGAUUUAUAUACAUGUAGAUUCUAACAAAAUUUUUACAUGUAAGUAAGUAGAUCAGAAUGGUGGAGUUUUACUAUGUAUUCAUUUACCAAAUGUAUUUUGAGCUCCUGCUGUGUACUGGACAUUCUACUAAGUACUGGUGAUGAGUGGUGAACAAAGCUACCGAAAUCUCUGCCCUUAGAGCUUAUAAAGGUGUCAGUUCUUUGUUCUUCUCAACUGUGUUUGAAAAAGCAUAUAGCAGUCAUUGACAAUAAAGGAUUUUUAAUGAUUUAGCAGCUGACAAUUCAAUUAGGUCUUCUUUCAGUUUUGCUAGAAGCAGAUAAUUUGAAACCAGCAGACAUGGAAGAGAUUUAGGUUUUUUAACAAGUCAUUAGGGCCCUUUGCAUUCUCAUUUUCUGAGAAGCAAAGUAAAAAGGUUUUACUGAGACCUAACAAAAGAUUAUUAAUUAUACUUCUUACUAUUCACCUAUCCCUAUAGGUGUAUCAAUUAGUGUUUUACCCGAGAAAGAGAACCAGAUGGAGAUUAUGUAUGUGUAUAAAUAUACAGACACAUAUGUAUGCAUGUAUACACAUGUAUGUAUUAUACAUAUAUAUAUAUGCUAUAUAAAAUUUUCAACAGGUUUAUAUACAUAUAAAGAGAUUUUUUUUGCAAGGAACUGGUUUACAUAAUUGCUGGGGCUGGCUAGGCAAGUCUGAAAUCCACAGGGAGGCUGUCUGUUAGGUGGACAUUUCUUCUUCAGGGAAGCCUUAGUUUUGCACUUAGGGCCUUUUACUGAUUGGAUGAGGCCCACCCUGAUUGUGGAGGCCAAUCUUCUUAACUUCGAGUCAGCUGAUGUUACUCAUAUCUACAAAAUAUUUUCAUAACAAUAUCUAAAUUAGAUUUUGAUUGAAUGACUAGGUACUAUAGUUUAGAUAGUUUGACACAUAAAACCAUCAUCGGCACCUUAUUUCAACCAGUAUACUCAAAGGUUUGGGAAAGUUGAAGUAAUGAAGUAAUGUUCAUUAAAAUAUACGUUUGUGUUUUAAAUUUAUGUCCGGUAAAUGUUUAACUCUUAGAUCAUGUACAUACUUAAAUAUGUAUUUAAAUACAUGAUGCAAAUUUUAAUAUAAUUAUAAACUAUUUAAAUAUAUUUUCAUCUAAUUCUUGGAACUGUGGAUUUAAUUUGUUCAGUUGUGGAAAAUUAUCACCAGUAACCUUAAUGGCAAAGCCAGUCUUCCCUGACAAACCAGGCAGCUAAAUAAAUAACACUGAU